UACGUAGGGGGCAAGCGUUGUCCGGAAUCAUUGGGCGUAAAGAGCGUGUAGGCGGCUCGAUAAGUCCGCUCUGAAAGCCCGGGGCUCAACCCCGGGAGGCGGGCGGAAACUGUCGGGCUAGAGUCCGGAAGAGGCGAGUGGAAUUCCCGGUGUAGCGGUGAAAUGCGCAGAUAUCGGGGAGGAACACCAAUGGCGAAGGCAGCUCGCUGGGACGUGACUGACGCUGAGACGCGAAAGCGUGGGGAGCAAACAGG
rnacentral:rRNA from 1 species